CGAGUGGCGGACGGGUGAGUAAUGUCUGGGAAACUGCCUGAUGGAGGGGGGAUAACUACUGGAAACGGUAGCUAAUACCGCAUAACGUCGCAAGACCAAAGAGGGGGACCUUCGGGCCUCUUGCCAUCGGAUGUGCCCAGAUGGGAUUAGCUAGUAGGUGGGGUAACGGGCUCACCUAGGCGACGAUCCCUAGCUGGUCUGAGAGGAUGACCAGCCACACUGGAACUGAGACACGGUCCAGACUCCUACGGGAGGCAGCAUG
rnacentral:rRNA from 1 species